UGAUGCAAGCUUCGCCCUGUCGCAGUGCAGGAUUGUUAUGCUACUAGAUCCGGAGCUAGCCUUAGACAGACGUUGCCGUUUGUGCUGAAAACCGAUUCGUAAGGCCUCGUUUGAGCACGGCUGCAGGUUUGAUCCCUCUUGCACCGCCUCGGAUUGUUGUAGCAUUAUUGUGGGGUGUGUAUGCUGCCGGUAAUGGAAUGGUACGUUUUAUUCAGCAGGGUGUUCAAUCCAUGUUGGUGUCCUUGUACUGAUUUAGCUCUGGUGCAAGCGACAAUCACAAGAUUCCGCAGUAGACUUGAUGGAAAGGUUUGUGUGCUUUCUUCUUGACCCUGUUCUGCCUUGGCUUACUGCAGGAUUUCACUUGGCUUGAUUGGGAUGCUUUUGUGAGCUGAAUUACCUGCUGCCAGUAAAAUGUCAACAUGACGAAGCUAUUAUCCCACACCUGCACAUAGGUAAGAGAAUUUGCCGUAGAUUCACAUGGUUGGUAUUUUAGCUUAUGUUUCUGAUUGAUUACUUCAGGUUGUGAUGCUACUAUGCAUGUUGAACGCCAACUUAUGAUGAUUCUGAGUUGAUGAUCUUCUACAAGGUCUCUAUUACUCUGUCUUCUGCCAACAGGUCCUGUAAUGGACUUUUCUUGCUCUUCAUAUUCUGAGAAGUUUGAGAAUUAACAGGAUAUUCUGUAGUGUCUCCCGCGUGACUUUCACCAGAUACCUUAACCAAGUCUGGAUAUGAUACCACCCCAGCCCAGGGCGUUGCCAAACUCACGGAAUUGACAGAAGCAGCAACAUCAGAUACAAGUGUUUCUGUCUGUGCCUUUCUCUGUUCUUCCAGCUGAAUUUCUAAUAAAGACUUGGCCUUGACACUUGGAGCAGGUUUCCAAGCCUGUCCAGCAGCAACUUCAGCAUUGUGAGUAGAAACAGAACCAACUGCCACAGAAUCGCCUGAAAGGAUUGUUUCGAUAUGUUUCAUGUGAUCCACCGUUAUUUGGAAUGUGCUUAAUUGUUUGCGAGCUCGUAAUUUGCCAUCUGCAUUUUGAUUGUCCAGGUCUCAUGUUUCGCGUUUCGCACAUGCAUUCCCAUCGGCCGUUACUAUCGUGGUUUGAGUUACAUGCUGCUCAACUGGUUUAACUCCCACAUCUGUACCCACCUGUCCAGCCAGUAGCGAUGCAGCCGAAGACACUACAAUAACAAGUGCAACAUGCUGUGCCGGUUUGGUAUGCUCACCAGACUCGGAAACUGCGUUCAAAAGAGUACCACCAGCGCUGUUAUUGUUAUCCGACAUCAGCAGAAAAAGGUUUAGGGUGGAAAUGAUUCUGCAGGUUACCGCUGCUGUUUGGUUGCAGGUCUACUUGCGGAACAUUCCGUGAAUGAGUUCAGUAUCAGUUCAUGUCGGUUUCUUGUAUCAUGGCCAUGGUUCAAUUCUGAUUUGUUACUAUUUGUCAUGCCGGUCAUGGUGGUAUGGAGGAGCAAACAUGGCUAAGUAAAGGGUUGGACCUGGCACGGCAUAACAG